rnacentral:misc_RNA from 1 species
AAAAAUAUUUUUUUUUUAUUAUUUUUAAUAUUUAUUAUAAUUUACGUGUUUAUUUAUAUGGGCUUCCCAUUCCAUAUAACUUGAUAACAUGAAAUCACAGCUACACCUAAUUAAUCUAUAAGCUGGCUGCUCAACCUGUGCGGCAACCAACUCAGGGCCGAAAGGAAUCUGCACAGUAGGCAUUGCUUUUCACAAAGAAUAUGCACACAAUGGCAUUCCCAGUCCACUGAAAUCAACCAUUACUCAGUGUCUUCAAUGAUGGCACCAUGCAUGCAUUGACAUGGACACCUUUUCAAGCUUCAGUCAACCUCCACUCUCUCAACCGUAAGAACACUUGCAUCCCAUGCAAAAGCACAAACCCCGGCAAUAGUCCAAUGCGUUGAUUGGUUGGAGCUAACUCGCUUAGAAAACUUUAAAUUCUUGGUUGGU